UCUCAAGGGGUCUGCAUACGGUCUUUUCGCACCCGGGCAUGUUUGUUGAAAAGAUUAGCCGAGGCUGGGUGUAUUUUCCGUGUCUGGCUCGGGAAAGAAGAAACGGAGAGUGCUGUAUUUACAUGAAGUUCAUUUUGUAUCCUCUUAUUAUACAUACCUAUACGAGGAAGAUAACCUUGAGUUUGUUCAAAAGGACGAACAGACGGGAUCCAGCGACAUCUGUCCGACAAAUUAUUCUCCAAGGGCGUGGACGACCUUCGGCCCCAAUGAUGCGGGGUUAACGACACCGGGCGUGAGUAAUACUUUUGGAAAAUAUCGGAGGAAAGUUAUCAGUCGAGCACUUUGGUGACUCACCGCUGACAGAAGGUUGAACAACCUUCGGAAAUGUGAAGUGCACAGGAGAUUAACGUAUGGUUCCAUUAGCUGCUGCAGCAAUCAGUGGCGACAUAAGAAUUUCGUCAAACGAUCCAAAAAAUGUAGGGACUUCUGUGAUUAACCUCCUGCCUCAUAAUAUCUUGCCACACCGAUGACG